GCGUUUGUGGUUCAGUGGUAGAAUGGGUCGUUGCCAGUAGAGUAUCGACUCGACCGGGGUUCAAUUCCCCGCGAACGCA
rnacentral:tRNA from 1 species